GGAAUAGAGAAUAAUAGGUUAUGCGAAGACUUCUAAUUUUUGUCAUGGGCGAUUCGAGUUCGUUCUAUUCUU